rnacentral:lncRNA from 1 species
UUCGAUCAACUAGCGCAUCUCUUUCUACUCAAUUGCUAUGGUGGAGUGCUCAGCGCCCAACACUUGCAAGUUGUAACACUCAGCUACCCCAUUGGUUUCAGUUAUACGUCUCAAGGAUUGAAAAUGAACGGGUUACGAUUCCGCUUUCCUCUCCCCUUGCCAUACGUGUUCCCCGUUUCCUUGAUCAAACUUAAAUUGUAGCUUCG